GUAGGGAAUAUUGGGCAAUGGAGGCAACUCUGACCCAGCCAUGCCGCGUGCAGGAUGACGGCCCUCUGGGUUGUAAACUGCUUUUAUACGGGAAGAAAAAAUACUACGUGUAGUAUACUGACGGUACCGUAAGAAUAAGGAUCGGCUAACUCCGUGCCAGCAGCCGCGGUAAUACGGAGGCUCCAAGCGUUGUCCGGAUUUAUUGGGUUUAAAGGGUGCGUAGGCGGAUCUUUAAGUCAGUGGUGAAAGCCUGCAGCUUAACUGUAGAAUUGCCAUUGAAACUGAAGAUCUUGAAUGUGGUUAAAGUAGGCGGAAUGUAUCAUGUAGCGGUGAAAUGCUUAGAUAUGAUACAGAACACCGAUAGCGAAGGCAGCUUGCUGAACCAUUAUUGACGCUGAGGCACGAAAGCGUGGGGAGCGAACAGGAUUAGAAACCCUAGUAGUCC
rnacentral:rRNA from 1 species